CAGAAAAUAGUUUAUUUAAAAUAUUAAUUUUGGGAAUUAAUGAAAAAUUAUUUUAAUUUUUUUCUGA
rnacentral:tRNA from 1 species